AGACCAGCCCGGGCCCCUCUGGCAGCGACAAGCUGUGAUGUCGGACUGGAAAA
rfam:Oligotropha carboxidovorans OM5, complete genome.